rnacentral:rRNA from 1 species
AUUGAACGCUGGCGGCAGGCCUAACACAUGCAAGUCGAACGAGUGGCGGACGGGUGAGUAAUGUCUGGGAAACUGCCUGAUGGAGGGGGAUAACUACUGGAAACGGUAGCUAAUACCGCAUACCAUCGGAUGUGCCCAGAUGGGAUUAGCUAGUAGGUGGGGUAAAGGCUCACCUAGGCGACGAUCCCUAGCUGGUCUGAGAGGAUGACCAGCCACACGGGGACUGAGACACGGUCCAGACUCCUACGGGAGGCAGCAGUGGGGAAUAUUGCACAAUGGGGGCAAGCCUGAUCCAGCCAUGCCGCGUGUAUGAAGAAGGCCUUCGGGUUGUAAAGUACUUUCAGCGGGGAGGCGUUACCCGCAGAAGAAGCACCGGCUAACUCCGUGCCAGCAGCCGCGGUAAUAC